rnacentral:tRNA from 1 species
AAGGAAUUAGUUUAAAAAAAACGUUAAUGUGUCAAAUUAAAAUUACUAUUAUAAUGUAUUUCUUU